AGCAGUAGCCGCGGGAAUACGUAGGUCCCGAGCGUUGUCCGGAUUUAUUGGGCGUAAAGCGAGCGCAGGCGGUUAGAUAAGUCUGAAGUUAAAGGCUGUGGCUUAACCAUAGUAUGCUUUGGAAACUGUUUAACUUGAGUGCAGAAGGGGAGAGUGGAAUUCCAUGUGUAGCGGUGGAAUGCGUAGAUAUAUGGAGGAACACCGGUGGCGAAAGCGGCUCUCUGGUCUGUAACUGACGCUGAGGCUCGAAAGCGUGGGGAGCAAACAGGAUUAGAGACCCCCGUAGUCCCUGUCUCUUAUACC
rnacentral:rRNA from 1 species